UGCCCAAAGGAUAGUCUUUUCAGGUACCUU
rnacentral:piRNA from 1 species